CCCCUAGAUGUUCUGGGCCGCACGCGCGCUACACUGAACAGUUCAACAAGUCUUAACCUUGGCCGAUAGGUCUGGGUAAUCUUUGAACGCUGUUCGUGAUUGGGAUAGACCUUUGCAAUUAUGGGUCUUCAACGAGGAAUUCCUAGUAAACGCAAGUCAUCAGCUUGCAUUGAUUACGUCCCUGCCCUUUGUACACACCGCCCGUCGCACCUACCGAUUGAAUGGUCCGGUGAAGCGUUCGGACCGUGGCCUUUGGACGGUUCGCCGUCUGUUGGCUGCGGGAAGUUCGUUAAACCUUAACAUUUAGAGGAAGGAGAANUCGUAACA
rnacentral:rRNA from 1 species